rnacentral:rRNA from 1 species
GAUGAACGCUGGCGGCGUGCCUAAUACAUGCAAGUCGAGCGAACAGAUGAGGAGCUUGCUCCUCUGACGUUAGCGGCGGACGGGUGAGUAACACGUGGAUAACCUACCUAUAAGACUGGGAUAACUUCGGGAAACCGGAGCUAAUACCGGAUAAUAUAUUGAACCGCAUGGUUCAAUAGUGAAAGACGGUUUUGCUGUCACUUAUAGAUGGAUCCGCGCCGCAUUAGCUAGUUGGUAAGGUAACGGCUUACCAAGGCAACGAUGCGUAGCCGACCUGAGAGGGUGAUCGGCCACACUGGAACUGAGACACGGUCCAGACUCCUACGGGAGGCAGCAGUAGGGAAUCUCCCGCAAUGGGCGAAAGCUUGACGGAGCAACGCCGCGUGAGUGAUGAAGGUCUUCGGAUCGUAAAACUCUGUUAUUAGGGAAGAACAAAUGUGUAAGUAACUAUGCACGUCUUGACGGUACCUAAUCAGAAAGCCACGGCUAACUACGUG